UCAGAUUGAGCCUCCUGGAAUGCACAUGAUUUAUCUUCCAUAUUCUGAUGACAUCAGACUUGUUGAAGAGGUAUAGAGCUGCAAUAGUUGAACUUGUGUUUAAACUUCAACUGUCAAACUAGAGAAAAUUAGGUUUGAUGUUCUAUAAAUGAAGUUAUUAAGGUGUGAAAGAUUUGUGCAGCGUUAUUCAGAUACUAGUGGGGUGACUAAAGCAAGUGAUGAUCAAAUAAAAAGGGCAGCUGAUUUAAUUAAGCGUUUGGACUUGAAAGAUUUUUCUGUGUUCCAGUUUACCAACCCUGGUAAGCUUCUUCUUCCUCUUGCUCUGCUGCUCUCCAAAGUCCUAACUUAAUGUUGUGUUUAUACUUCUAGUAAGCUCCAUCGUAAUCCUUAUUAGCCUUAAAUGUUGAAAUGUAUCAUUUGAUUUAUAUAUUCAAUUACUCUCACAUGCAUUGCAUUUUGUCAUCAUUAUACGAAACUCCUUAAAUUCCUACACGUACCUCACCUGAAUUAUAGACUGUUGACUUGAAACCUCUUCAAGAUAUUGGAUUAAGCAUCUAAAUGAUUUCUGUAUACAGUGACUUAAUAAUUUUUGCUGCUAUCUAGCAGCGGUUAUGCAUUUUUACUUGAUAUUUCACUGAAUAUCUCCUUCUGCAUGUUCAUUUGCUUGUAGAAAAAAACUCAAUUGAGAUAUCUUUUAGAAAAAUUUAAUUGUUAUUUAGAUUGAUGUUCAUUGUUGAAUUACUUAUAUAAUUUUUUUUUUUUACUGGAUGAGGUUGACUACAUGAAUCAAACUAAACAGAUAUUCUAUGCUAACAACCAAAUUUUUGGAAUCAAUUAUUUUCUUAUGAAUCCAAAAGUUUUCUUUGGUUGUCCUCUACCUAGGUUUAUUAGAGUAUUGUCUUGGGUAUAGUGUUAUUAACAGUGAUAAAGGAGAUUAAGAUAAAUUAGUACUGAGUAUGAUGGGCGUUUAUGGUUUGUUUGUUUUAAGAGAAACUCAUGCGAGAGAAGUAGGAGAGAGAGAGUUUGAUGAGAAAUUGAAGACUUCUCUCGUUUGGAGGAUCAGAGAAAUCAAGAAGAGAGGCUAAAAAAAUGUGGACCCCAUAACCUUUCCUUCUGUUCUAACCUGCGAAGAAAGACAUGGAGAUAAAUAAUGUUUCUUUGUUCCACGUGUACCCUUUUAAUUGUUUCAACCUUUCAUUUUUUUAAGCUAAAAAUUUAUUAAAAAGAAAAGGAAAAGCAAAAAUUAGGGGACAUAGACCUAAUCUAGUAACAAAGAAAAAAGAAAUGCAAAAAAAUAUUCCUCAAAUCAUGCAAGUUUUUUGUGUCUUUGGCGAAAAUUAUGUACUAUAAUUUCUUUCUACACAUUCUUUUUCUUUGCCUUUGAAUCACCUUCGUAAAAAACUCUUCAUUGAUAGUAGAACCAUUUUUCGUAAAAGGCUCUUUACAGGCAGUAAAACGAUUCUACAAAUCAUUAGCGAGCAAUCUUGAGAUAUAUAUAUUAUUAGUGUUUAUAACAUUUGAACAUGUCAUAUCUUCUACCAUAUCUCUUAAAUGUAAAUUUGCAUCCUAAUUCGAAUGAAUUUGAUGAUUUUGGACAGCAUUUUCAUAUAACACUGCAUCAAUACAAAUAUUUGCAUAAGGAAAAUUUUCUCUGUAUUGUUCUAUGCUAUCUGAAUUAGAUGAGUUGGAUCCAAAGACCUCGUAAUUUCCUCACCCUCCUCGAGGGGCGUAAAUCAUAAAUGUACCGCCUCUCACAAACCAGUACUAAUUAAUUACCUUGUUUUCACAAAAACACAAAGGAUACAACCUUAACUUCUUAAUAACAUAGUAAACUUAAAACCAACAUUUAAACAAAAUUUUAAAUUUUUUUUCUAUAUAUAUACCAUUUGACUAAAAUCCAUUUUACUCAUCAAAGUCUUUCAACAAAAUUUUCAAAUUCAAAUAUAGUUUAAAACACCUUAAAUAAUCAAGGAUAACAACUCAUAUGGUUUCAAACUUUAAACGACCCGAAAUUUUAAUUUAUACCACUAUAAGAUCACAAGAGAACUUUUUCCUAACUUAUUUAAAGUUCAUAAAAUUUCUACCACUCAAAUACUUUUGAAUUAAAACAAACCACAACAAUUCCUACUUUAUUUCAAAACUUAUUCCAAAAAUUUUGCCAUGAUCUUUUUGUUCCUAUCUCUCUUCCUUAAAAAUUUAACCAACAAACAUAAAAUAUUCAGAGUUAUUCUCAUCGCUAACUCGGUGUCAACAAUCUCGAUUAAUUUUCGAGACUCAAGGAGCUAACUAUAUAAAGAUAGGAAAUUAUAAAAGUUGCAUCAAGGUUACAUUACUCAAGAAAACUAAUCAGUUUUUUUUUAGUUAUCAAUUACUCACUUACUUUAAAAUCUUCAUUUCACAACUUUGAGUUUAUUUUUUAAAUUACAUCACUUUGGUCCCCAAACACCUAACAUCUAGUUGUCAUUUUAAUUAAAAAAAACAUAACCAAACACAAUUGCAAAAGUGUUAACUUUAUUAACUUAAACUCUAAUAAAAUUUCUAUUUUUCAGUUCAAACUCAUUUAUUUGAAAACAACUCAUUAUAUAACUCAAACACAUACAAAAAUUAAAUUUUCACAUUAUGACACGCCACAUUUGGUCUUACUAAAAUUUUUGGGGGAUUGGUUUCAUUUUUUUGUUAUUCAAGUUAUUAACUCCUCUAAUUUCAAUAUUAACAAAGCACCAAAGCAAAAAAAAAAACACUUUCCUUUUACUCUCUUACUUAGGGUUUUUGAUUUUUGAAAGAAAAAGAGUUGAAAAUGUUUCUUUUUGACUUCCUAAACAUUAAUAACAACCAUAGUAGUGAUAAACAAGCAAGAUUAAAGCUCAAAAUAUAACAAAAAAUCAUUUUCCCCCCUAUAUAUGCAUGCUUACGGGUUCGAGAGAAAAGGGGGAAGAAAUAGCUACCUCAACUAGUGAUCCUUAGCUCUUUGCAAUCCUCUCAAGUAGUGAAACAACUUUGUAGUUGGAGGCCUCUAAGUUGCUAAAAAAUGAAGGAGAAUGUUUGGGUUUGGAGAGAAAUAAGAGAAGAUGUAUUUGAAGAAUUAAAGAAAGUGAUAUUAAGUUUAUGAUGAUGAUGGCCAUGAAUUGCU
rnacentral:lncRNA from 1 species